AUUGAACGCUGGCGGCAGGCUUAACACAUGCAAGUCGAGCGGAGUGAUGGUGCUUGCACUAUCACUUAGCGGCGGACGGGUGAGUAAUGCUUAGGAAUCUGCCAUUUAGUGGGGGACAACAUUCCGAAAGGAAUGCUAAUACCGCAUACGUCCUACGGGAGAAAGCAGGGGAUCUUCGGACCUUGCGCUAAAUGAUGAGCCUAAGUCGGAUUAGCUAGUUGGUGGGGUAAAGGCCUACCAAGGCGACGAUCUGUAGCGGGUCUGAGAGGAUGGUCCGCCAGACUGGGACUGCGACACGGCCCAGACUCCUACGGGAGGCAGCAGUGGGGAAUAUUGGACAAUGGGCGGAAGCCUGAUCCAGCCAUGCCGCGUGUGUGAAGAAGGCCUUUUGGUUGUAAAGCACUUUAAGCGAGGAGGAGGCUCUCCUAGUUAAUACCUAGGAAGAGUGGACGUUACUCGCAGAAUAAGCACCGGCUAACUCUGUGCCAGCCGCCGCAGUAAGAC
rnacentral:rRNA from 1 species